CCGAGUGAGGGCCCUCCGGGUCCAACCUCCCACCCGUGUCUAUCGUACCUUGUUGCUUCGGCGGGCCCGCCGUUUCGACGGCCGCCGGGGAGGCCUCGCGCCCCCGGGCCCGCGCCCGCCGAAGACCCCAACAUGAACGCUGUUCUGAAAGUAUGCAGUCUGAGUUGAUUAUCAUAAUCAGUUA
rnacentral:misc_RNA from 1 species